rnacentral:rRNA from 1 species
GAAGUAAAAGUCGUAACAAGGUUUCCGUAGGUGAACCUGCGGAAGGAUCAUUAAAGAUUCGGGUCGCGAGACCUAUCUUUUCUUCAGCUGUGCGCUCCGGCUGCACGUUGUUGAAAUCCCAACCUUCACACCUGUGAACCUCUCGGGGGCGCAUCGCGCUUCCGCUUUACAUGUAACACGUUAAGUUUAGAAUGAUAUGAUACUAUAAAGUAACAACUUUCAACAACGGAUCUCUUGGCUCUCGCAUCGAUGAAGAACGCAGCGAAAUGCGAUAAGUAAUGUGAAUUGCAGAAUUCAGUGAAUCAUCGAAUCUUUGAACGCAUCUUGCGCUCCGUGGUAUUCCGCGGAGCAUGCCUGUUUGAGUGUCACGUAAACCUUCACCCUUCGGAUCGUUGACUCGGUCUGUCGAGGUGGAUUUGGACUGUGCCGUAGUAGGCUCGUCUUGAAAUAUAUUAGCUUGCGCUUUUUAGAGUGCCCGGCACCGGUGUGAUAAUUAUCUGCGCCACAGCCCAAGGACCUCUUCAGUGGUGCUGCUUAUAGUCGUCCUUGCGGACAAUAUACUUUAAAGCUUUGGCCUCAAAUCAGGUAGGA